rnacentral:rRNA from 1 species
GGGAAAAAUGCCCAUGGGCGCAGCCUGAUGCAGCCAUGCCGCGUGUGUGAGAGGCCUUCGGGUUGUAAGUACUUUCAGCGGGGAGGAAGGCGAUGGGGUUAUAACCCUGUCUAUUGACGUUACCCGCAGAAGAAGCACCGGCUAACUCCGUGCCAGCAGCCGCGGUAAUACAA